GCAAGAAUACUGGACCUAGAGAUAUCUCCCGACCCCGUCGAACUUCCGGGUGAAAUACAAGUUGCUUUCAAGGUUGUGAACCUGCAAAGAGCCGAGUCACCCAUCAAGACUGACGUAACCCUGUGGAAGAAGGUCUUGGGCAUGUCGAUAGAAGCACCAUGCAGGAACAACAUGGGUUCAUGUAGCUACAGAGACUUCUGUGGGUUGCUGGAACGAAUCCCGUGUCCACAAGCUUUCAGAAAAAAACAAAAUACCCUGCAAGUGUCCCUUCCCAGUUGGAAACUACACACUUCCAACCACUAAGUUUGAAGUCAACCUGUCAACGGUUCCAAGUGGAGACUACCGCAUAAGGAUCAAGAUGGGCUCCUCAACUCAAACUUGCUACGUGAUAUACUUUUCAGUUGACUGAUCCAGGGC